rnacentral:piRNA from 1 species
UGGCAAGGUUCCCUACACCCUAAACUUUA